UACCAUUCGAGACGUUUGGGUGCCUUGCUCCACGACCGUGGGGCGGGUGAAACGGGAAGCCGGUGACUCUGAUUCUUCAGACAUUCCGGCGCAGCCCCCGCUGCUGUAAAGUCUGACGACUCCGCAAAACGCCACUGUGCUCGGGCAUGGGAAGGCUGCUGGAGAAGCUCGACGGCAAGCCAGAAGACCGGCCCGAAUAAAACGUAGCGC
rnacentral:ncRNA from 2 species